rnacentral:rRNA from 1 species
UACGUAGGGACCGAGCGUUGUCCGGAAUCAUUGGGCGUAGAGAGCGUGUAGGCGGCUUGCUAAGUCUUGCGUGAAAUCUCGGGGCUCAACCCCGAGCGGUCGUGGGAAACUGGCAGGCUAGAGUGCGGGAGAGGAGAAUGGAAUUCCUGGUGUAGCGGUGAAAUGCGCAGAUAUCAGGAAGAACACCCGUGGCGAAGGCGGUUCUCUGGAACGCAACUGACGCUGAGACGCGAAAGCGUGGGGAGCAAACAGG